rnacentral:rRNA from 1 species
ACUACGGGUGGCAGCAGUGAGGAAUAUUGGUCAAUGGGAGAGAUCCUGAACCAUCCCCGCCGCUUGCGUUCCUCCUUCCCUCUUUUUUUUCCCCCUCUUUUUUCUUACAACACAACCCGGGACGUGUCCCGGACUGCGUGUAUCCGAAGAAAAAGCAUCGGCUAACUCCGUGCAAGCAGCCGCGGUAAUACGGAGGAUGCGAGCGUUAUCCGGAUUUAUUGGGUUUAAAGGGUGCGUAGGCGGUCCGUUAAGUCAGCGGUAAAAUUGCGGGGCUAAAGCCCGUCGAGCCGUUGAUACUGGCAGACUUGAGUUGGCGAGAAGUACGCGGAAUGUGCGGUGUAGCGGUGAAAUGCAUAGAUAUCGCGCAGAACUCCGAUUGCGAAGGCAGCGUACCGGCGCCAGACUGACGCUGAGGCACGAAAGCGUGGGGAUCGAACAGGAUUAGAUACCCAUGUAGUC